CGCGUAGGCGGCCGACUAAGUCAGACGUGAAAUCCCCUGGCUCAACCAGGGAACUGCGUCUGAUACUGGAUGGCUUGAAUCCGGGAGAGGGAUGUGGAAUUCCAGGUGUAGCGGUGAAAUGCGUAGAUAUCUGGAGGAACACCGGUGGCGAAGGCGGCAUCCUGGACCGGUAUUGACGCUGAGGCGCGAAAGCCAGGGAGCAAACG
rnacentral:rRNA from 1 species